UAAAAUGAUGCGCAGAAACUCGGUGGUGGUAGGGGUUCCCAACUAGUAAAUACGAAACAGUUCCUCGGUCAUGGCGAGGAAAGAGGUGAGUAUGAGCGUGUCUCAUAGCUGGGUGAGUGAUGGCCAGCUGGAUGUAUCAUGAAGGAUCACAAUAUCACCGCAUAUCACCAGAAACACUACGCGGGAGGAAGAGGCGCGGCAGAGUGAAAGGCACAGAAAGCUUCAAGAAGACCUGCAAAGCCUGCUGCACCAUCUGGACAAGGGCAAGAAUCUCUUCCCAGCAGCUGGAUUCCAGCAUUCAGAAGUUAGAGAAGUUAGUGUGGGAAUACUAGGACCUCAAGAAGAGCUAAAAGCAGGGUGACACACAGUUAAGAAUUUUCCAGGACUCCCUCAGCAACCUCUUUGACAUCAGAGCCAGUAAUGCCCUGGCACAGAUGACUGUCGAAGAGGAUUGUGUGUUUUACCAAAUUCAACACAAGGAUGUCACUUCCUGCAGCAUGUUUGUCCCUGAUCUUUUAACAGCAGGGAAGGAGAGUUGGAAUUGAGUUCAGGAAGAACAAGAGAAGGCAAGAAGGAUGAAGGCAGAGGCCAAGGCAGCUUUAUCCUUGGUAGCAGCAACUCAGCUGUCUUCCACGUCCUCCUCUAACCUCAAGUCCCAGGUUGAUGAAGACUUCAUUCCUACUCCCAGUUGCUUGACACCAUUUAGGCAGUGGGAACCAGUUCAAGUGGACCCUCAAGAUUGAGAGAACUUCACCCGUAAAGAUCUGCUUCUCCCAGACUACACUUGGUAUGUGGGGAUGUGGACUGUGUGGCCAUUCUCAAUACUGGCCUGGGCAGUUUCGAUAAAUUGCUGGUUGUGCUGAAGACAGGAGGAGGCACGAGCAGUGGUGUAGUAGCUCUUGAUGGUUGGUCACUCCAUCCUCAUAUUCAAGGCCUGGUCUGGUCUUUGGUAUGACCACCUCCAACAGGGGUCUCCACCAUGGAGCCUGUGUGCUGAUUGAAGAGGGACUUGGGAAAGGACUCAUGUGGACAACCUGUCUUCAUCAUGUCUUGGAGAUUGUCCUCUCCACUGUCUUCAAGGUGUCCCCAGCAAGAUGUUCUGCAACCACAGAUUAGAAGAGCAGUUCUUAGGCAUGGUUUCCUACAUCCAGCAAGCUGUGAAGGAGCUGCAAGUGUGAGCAGACAACAUUAAGUUCCUCAGCCUGAGCCUCCUCUUCUUGAAUGGAGUGGGUGACCAGUGGGCCAAAUUUUAGACCCCAGGCCCAACCCAUCACAUGCAGUGGAUGGAGAAAGGAUUAUACAUCCUGAAAGUCUUCUCCUUCCUAAGACUAGUUCUGUCUUAUUGCCAAGGAGUCACGUAUCAUCAGAUCACUCACUUUUCAACACUUUGAUCUACAUCUGGUUAUGGAACGAGGCUCCACAUGGAGUACAGGUCCCCUUCAAUGACUAGGAGUUCCUCCAAACCUUUCAUGUGUACCCAGACAAAGAGGUCACAGGUGUUGCCAGCACCACCUUUGCACAUCAUCUCUGGUAUUUGGUGGAGCACCUGGUUGGACUGCCAUUCUUUGAUAAGGACGUGGACAUGGUGACGAAGCACAAGACAGUGACUAACUUUGAGUGGAAAAAGAAGCCAAGGUGCCUCCCCAAUGCUUGCAAGGAGUCCCAGAGAUCAGAGUUGAGCUGGAGGAGUUUGUGACCAAGAGGAUGCUGAAGAUGUUUAGCAUCACUGCUGAGCAGGGGAAGAAGAGGGCAAAAUCAUCUUUCUUGAAGGAAUAUCCCAGAAUGUGGGAGACAAGCACUUCGUUCCUGGAGGUGAAGUCUGCAGGUUCUUUGAAGGUGGCGAAUGAUGCAGCAGAAAGAACUUUUAAUUAUCCAGACCUUCAAUGCCUCACUGACCAAGGAUGGGGAGCAGAAACAGUACCUUCUCCAGCUCAUGCACCUCCUGAUGUCAAUCUCAGCACCACCUUAGGGUGGACACACCUCAGCUUAAUUAACAAAUAGAGAGAUGUAGCUUCCACUGGCAACAGGCACUGUGCAGAAGGCAGAUUCCCUUGGGCUUCAAGUGCCAUAUAUGACAUUUGGUGCCACUCAUUCAUAUAUUAAGGAGGUGCUUUGUUUUAUUCCUGCUGUGCAUAUCAAACCAUUAUAUGUUAAGUUUGCAUCACAUACAGCCAGGAUUGUGUUUUUAAGUAAAAUUGUAUUAAUUAAGUACAUAUCAGAGUUGGUCAAGUAUGUUUUUAGUUACAUAUACAUCAUCACUAAUCUGUUAUCAUUGAAGUUGUAGAAUGCUGGAUUAGGGGAUUGCCAGAUUAUAGGUUGAAAAGUUAGAAGGCACUUAACCCAACAGGUAACCACCUCAUUCUACCUUUAGAAUACCUUGCAAGUCGGUACAAGUUGGUUAUUUUUAUUUUUAUUUAUUUUUUUUCAAAAGCUGAACCACAUCCUUUAUGGGCAGUGUAUAGUAUUUGCACUUUACACAAGAAGCACUUCCUUUAUUCAUGACCAGGGCUAAAAGUGAGCAGGUUAUUAUAAUUAGAGCAAAACAAAUUGUAAUAGUUUGCUUGUUUGUGAGGCAAGUGAUGCCACCAAACAAAGGCAACAUCUUGGUGUAGCAACUUGUGAAAUUUUAAAUUAUGUUAGCUGAAAUUAGUGUCAAUUUAGUGAUGGAACUGGUUAAGUGAUUGCUGGACCAGUGAUGAUGUACCUGCACCAGCCAAUAUCCUGCGUCUAAUUUUGUGUGUAUCCAGUCUCUGCCACUACUUGGAUAAGUGGGGUAUGAUUACAUACCUGCUUAGUAGUGCAUCAUUGUAUACCUUCACAUCCUUGCCAGUGUCUUCUCAGUGGGUGACAAGUCUCUCAGUUGGGCAGAUAAAUGUACUCAUCUCCCCUUGCCUUCCUCUGUUAUACACUGGCUUGUUAUGAAGCUAGUGUAUAAUUAUCCUCACCUAUCCAGUUGAUAUGCAUUUUUUAAAUUUAUUUUUCAUGAGGAGCUCAAAGUUAUUUCAGUUACACAUCAUUAUUAUUAAUUUGAAGGAAUAGUAUAGUGAUCAGUUAAGUAAUGGAAUUGCACAAUUGAUAAAAAAAAAUCUUUUUAGUAUGUAUUGUAAUAGUUUUGAAUUAGAAAAAUAUGAUGUCUUAACCAUGGUUUUUGAGCCAGUAGCUUCCUUUCAACUUCCAGUCUUGUGAUACCAUAAGAAUUUAUUGUUCCCAUAACCAUUCCCCUUUAACUACAAUUGUUCGUUGUUUUUCAAAUUCUUAAGAACACCUGCUCUUUAAAAAAUUGGUGAACAUUAUUGAAGUUUUUACUUAAGCUCAGCUCACAUAAAACUCAUCCAUAGUUUUACUGCUCAUCUUUACUUGCCAUUAAACACACAAAAAUACUCAUGGUUAUAUCAAAUGAAAAUACUCAUGAUUAUAUCAUAUGAUGUAAAGAAUUUCAUUAUGCUUAAAUAAGUACUACAAAUUAUACUUGUGCACAUACAUAACUUUGAUAUCAUGUUAGUCAUAUUCACUCCAAUAAAUAUUUAAUUAUCAUUGCUAAAAACAUUCUAAAUUGUUAGGGCAUACCUAUGCUCUUAGAAAAUUAAAAUUCUUUCACCACUAAUUAACUAUAACCCUCACUGUGAAUAGACCUGUUGAGUGCAUGAAAUAAGAUACAGCUGUCAAAAAAAAUUAGGAAGUCCUAGAGAAAACAAAACUACGUAGAUUUUAAAGGAUUGUUUGUAGCCCUUUUGAUUGUAAAAAUCUGCCCACAGACUCCAUUUAUUAAUCAUUUCACAUGGCACAUUGUAACUGCAGAAUGGUACUGGAGAAUUAACAGGAGUGGAGAAUGAUAGUAGUACCAGAUGAGGACAGCAGGAUCAUCAUCAGGAAACUAGCAAGAACUGCAUUGUAGAGAAAAAUACCUGUGGAUAGGUAAAUUCACAUACCCACAAGCCACUUGCACAUGACCUGAUGUUACUCCUCUCAUCAGCAGACAUCAGUGCAAAGUUUGAGGUCUCUCAAUGCUGGUACAUGUAACACUUUGAAGACAGGCACAGUUUUGAAGUGCAUGAGGCACUGGGCCUGUCUAAAGCAUUUUUUAAUCAAGAUCAAGUACUUCUGCUUCCACCUAGGAUUGAAGAUGGCAUUGGUGUUUAUUUUUGGCUGGAGCUUCAUGGUCCCAAUUGCAUUCAUUGUUGAUGCUGGUCAGAUUGGCAGGCCUGUAGGUUGUCCACCCCUGCUCUAGCAGUAUCUUGCAUAGGGAUACAGGAGAAAAAAAAAAGUGCAAGAAAUGGGGCCAGGGCAUUGCCACACCAGUUUGCCACAGUUUCACUCUUGGACUGGAAAACAUUCCAUUCCAUCUAAUGCAGGAUUUCUUGGCCAGGCUUUGCCAUUCUUGGUUUUAAAAUUAUCCUUCUUGGCUUUAAUGUUUAUGUUCUGCAUGUUAACAGUACGUGUCUAUGUCUUAGACAGUUUGUCUAAGAUUGCAAAAAAUUCAAGACAGGAUAAUGAUUCCUUCCAAAAAAUAAGGAUAAUGAAUGAUUCAUUCCAAAGAUUCAUUCCAAAAAAUAAGACAGGAUAAGACAUUGUAGAGUGCAAAAGUGUAUCAUGUAGCCAUUUCAGAAAAGCACUGAUACAUUUCAAUGAUUAGACUAGGUAUAGUCUCUAAGUUAAACACAAGGUGUUGAGAAAAAUUUAUUAUGACAACCCCAAGGUGCUUCAAAGAGAUAGGAUUAUCUUAAGACAUGCCCUAAAACCAUAAUCAGACUCAAUCUGUUGAUAUAUAUCUUUCCUAUAUCUAUCUUUCUAUAUCUUUCCUGUAAUGUGGGGACCAGAACUACACAGCAUAGUCUAGAUGAGGUCUGACCAGCGCCAAGUAUAACUUUAACAUUACUUCCGGCCUUCUACUUUUAACACUCCUAAAAAUGAACCCUAGUACCCUAUUUGCCCUGUUUCUGGCUUCUAUGCAUUGUCCCUAGACGGAGUUCAGAGCUAACUAUAACUCCUAAAUCUUUCUCGUACCCUGUACUUACCAGAGUUUGGUUGUUUAAUGUGUACCUAUUGUGUGGGUUUCCUCUACCUACGCUAAGUACUUUGCAUUUAUUGAUAUCAAAUUGCAUUUGCCAUCUAUCCGUCCAUUCAUUCAUUCUAACUAAAUCUGCCUGCAAGGCGAUGGCAUCCGAUUCUGACCUAAUUAAUCUACCUAUCUUUGUCAUCUGCAAAUUUACUAACAUCACUACUAAUUCCACUAUCCAAGUCAUUGAUAUAUAUUAGAAAUAACAAUAGCCCUAAUACUGAUCCCUGUGGCACCCCACUAAUUACAUGACCCCACUCAGAUUUCGAGCCGUUUAUUACAACUCUGUCGCCUGUUACUAAGCCAUGACCCUAUCCAGCCUAAUACCUUCCCAUCUAUCCCAUGUGCCUUAACCUUUCUCAGGAGCCUUUGAUGGGGUACCUUGUCAAAUGCUUUACUAAAGUCCAGAUACAAGAUAUAACAUAUGUCAUUGUUGGUAAUUAUUAUGCUACAAACUCAUUAAGUGCCUUUUUUGUCCUCAGUCCCAGCUUUCAUGGUACAUCCAAGAUUAUACCAAUUAUUUUAUAUUUGUUGGUAAUUAUUAUGCUACAGACUCAUUAAGUGCCUUUUUUGUCCUCAGUCCCAACUUUCAUGGUACAUCCAAGAUUAUACCAAUUAGUUAAGAGUAUACCAAUUUGGAUACAACACUAAUUUUGCUUGAAUUAUUAGAAGAAUCAGACCAUUUAGAAAAUUAAUUUGUAUGCCAAGUUAAGCAACAGUGUGUUGUUGUUGAUAUGAAUACAACAAUUUUACUUGAAUUAUUAGAAGAAUCAGCCCAUUUAGAAGAUUAAUUUGCAUGCCAAGUUAAGCAACUGUGUGGUUGACCACUCAUGUGAAUGUUGUUCACUUUUUAAUCAACAGCUUUAACAUGUUAAUUAUGAAACAUCCACUAAACACCAAUUUAUAUAUAUCCACUGCAUCAGCAACAAACCUCUGCACCACACUUCACUGCAUCAACAGCUUCAACACGUUAAUUAUGAAACACAUCCACUACACUAAACACCAAUUUAUGUAUAUCCACUGCAUCAGCAACAAACCUCUGCCACACCACCCUUCUCUGCACCAACACCAACAAACCUCUGCACAACUCAUGUUUUCCAGUAUUCAACAGCUUCCUCUAACUACAAGAUCCACAAUGCAAAUCUGAUGGGGGAAAUUGUGAAGCUAUUGCUAUAACUUAUUUAUACUUCAAAUAAAUAUAAAUUAUUAAUUAAAUAAAUGCAAAUUAUACUUCAAAUAAAUGCAAAUUAUACUUCAAACAAGUGCAAAUUAUACUUCAAAUAAGUGCAAAUUAUACUUCAAAUAAAUGCAAAUUAUUCUCCAGAAUACAUUUUCUUUUUGCAUUAAUAAUUUGAUGAUUGCUUAUUUCGUAUACUGGCUAGAGAUGUUCUUGCCUUUAGCCCCUGUCAACCUGAAGCACUGGGUGUUCAUCACACAUCCCAUGCAUGGGAUCAUGUCCUUGAGCCUGCACUUGUACCUCCAAAGCAGUACUGUCACCAAUGUAGCAUGGCAUGGCAGGUAAAAAUUUGGUUUUCAUAUAGCUCUGUAUUAUCACAAUAUGACAACAGUUACAUGUUAAAGCAAUGACAAAAUUUGCAACCGAAAUAAGGAGUUGGCUAUAGUGGACUAGAUGCAUCUUGUACGUAGGAUAGAGCUGGAUAGUGAUGAGAGGGACACAAACACUGAGUAUGAAUUUAGCAGUCCCAUCAUCAAGGAUACUGCAGGCUGGGUAGCCUAGCCUGGAGUUGGGUCCUCAGCAACCCUAUUGAGAAGUUCAUUACCUGAUCGAUUUCUCAUUAUGAAGUACCACAUAACAGGGUAUUGUAAGAUUAAUUUACAGUGUAUAGUGGGAAAAGCACAGAAUUACAAGUAGAAACUAUUGUUUUUAUACAUCUGUAUCUGGAAAAGGCCACCUGGAAAAGGCCACAAGUGCUAGAAAACUAAAAUACUGUUAAUUUAGGAUGUAAAAAUACAAUUGCACUAUAAGUCAAAGAUGCAACACCUUGAUUGUCAAGUGGAGAGAGGGAGAAAGUGAAACCUUGUUGGAUUACACCACUGUGGAUAGGAGCAGAUACUGUGGUUGUAAAAAGAAUCCCUAUAAAAUAGAACAUACUUUCCAACAGAAGAGUGCAAGCAGUAAACUAACAAAUUUUGGUUUGGCGUCAUUCCCUGUAGCACAGUCCCUACCAACGAAGCAUCGAGGUUCCAAGAAUGGUUGUCAUUUUACAGUUCAAAUUUCUUUGAUACUCCUUUUCUAAUAGUUGUCCAGAAAUGGAAUAACAAGGAAGCAAUAUACAACAAAUAUAGACCAGCAACAUGCAAAGAAUCAAGUAGUCUACCCGUUGUCAUGUGCAGUACUGCCCAAAAGGGAUUUUACCAAAUUCACGAAACCACAAAGCAUACGGUUGGAAAAUUACCAGCCAUGGUGCGUUCAUUUUGAGGAAAUUUGUUAGAGCAAAAUUUUCCUAGUGUGUUAUUGUUAGUUGUAUACAAAGACGUUUGACGUAGCUGUAAGGAUAUGCGAAGAUUGGGAUAAGAAAUUAUUGGCUAUAGUUAAAUUGGUUAAAUUUUAUUAUAUUACGCGAGCUUAGGGUAUCAACCACUUCGCAGCCACUUCACACCUCCCAUAAUUACAUCCAAGAGAAAAACUCUGCUCGAUAUUACUGCGGGAACUAACGGUAGCUCUCUCUCUCUCUCUCUCUCUCUCUCUCUCUCAGCCACAACAGCCUUGUAAGAACUCACUCACUCUCUCCACAACAGCCUUGUAAGAACAAAGAACUCUCAGGAUAACUCUUCAACUAGAAUAAAAGAAAAGAACCGUUAAUCUUGUAAACAAAGCAACGGUAGAGGAAACGGUUGCUAACAGGAAUGGGUACCCAAUACCUGCGGUCGGAAGUGAGGUCAUGAAUCACUUAACACCCAUUUCCACGUAUGUAUGCAUACUUCCUCCACGCACAUUUCCGCAUUUAGUUGGGUAGGUAAAGUUACUUUUCCGAGGGUCUCUGAAAAAAAUAUGGUAGUUAUAAGCACCGCAAAACAUUAAUUGCACACACACACACCUGCCAGUGAAACCCUUAACUGCUAACGCACUGUGAGACAGUCACAACACCUACCACGGGAAUCCUCAACACUACUUCUCGCCCAAAUUAAAUCUUUGCUCGUCUCUCUGGAUUACACUCAGCAGUGGUUGAAAUGCUCUUAAAUGCUCUCAUCUAGCGAGUUAACUAGUUGACACCAUCCGCAACUACCGUCCAGGCGAGCUUCCUCUCUUAACACGUCACAAAUCCCGCUUCUGCCACUUGCUUUUGAGUAAAAAAUUAAGCCCUACAUGAAAACCUUGACCCAAUGACGACGUAAAUAUAGCUUCUUAUAGAUCUAUUACGCAUUGUGUAUCAAAAUAAUUUUCACUGUAUGUAAGUAGAACUAAGCACAAUAACGUAGUCCAAGCAUCUUCUGCCCUUUAAUACAAACUUGGGGACUGAAUAAACAAUCACCAAUAUAUACUCCUAACGCAAAUAAGGGUAUUCAUUACACUUAACCUGGAGAUUUUUACCAAUUCCAGCUCACCCGUCAUCGCAUACCAACACUAACUGGAUUAAACCUUUAUUAAUCUGCUUAAUUUGAUACGUUUUUUUUUUUCUUAGUAACUAUAUUUACGUAUAUUUACUCUUAGUAAUUAUAAUACGUGGAAAUAGAAAUGCAAUGUUUCAUACGAAGACACGUGUAGCCCUGAUGGUUUCUCACCUUAUUUCCUUGUUCUUGCUGGCAGUUUCGCUUAUUUUAAGUUCAGUUUUCCUUAUUAUAUCCUUAUUCUUUUCAGUUAUUUCACCUAACUGCUCCAUUAAAAUCAGUACUACUACACAAAACUAUUACUUAUAAUAAUCAAUACCGACGUGCUGGUGAAUCAGCGACACCUUAGCAUUCGUUUACGUCAUCAAAUUGUUUAUAACUUGAUCUGUCUCUAGAACACCUGCGAAUACAAGUGACUGUAGACAAAUCACCACACCGUGAUCGUACACCGCACCGCACUCAGAUCGCUUCAUCUCCUGCCGCUACACAACCUCUGUUUAAUAUUUCCCACAUAACACACUACACCGCGACCUAUCAAGAAAUCUUACAUGGCCGCCAGCCAAUAUCAGACAAUUGACCAACCAAGCUACAGUGGACUUUAUAGAUAACAUUACUUACUUUGAACCACUCCUGCCAUCACUAACGUGGAAUACCCCGCAGCGGCCGCUCACAAACUCCUUCCACGUCGCCCAACUCCCUUCUGCCACUCCUUUCCUUAGUGUGGCGGACAUACUAUGUUGAAAAAUUCAAACCCUCGAACCAUCGGUGAAACAGUAUCGAUUAUGAAAUAUGUUAGUUUGGUGUGAUAUUACACAGCCUGCCUACUACAUAAUAUUUGUUAAUAUUUUAUGUGCAGAAAUGUAGUGAAGGAAGCUUCUGGCCAAUACAGGAAAUUUUGGUAUAGCUGUACGAACAGUGUGGAGCAGUUAAUUCAGGUAAAUACUGAAUAAGUGGUCACUAACACGGUACAAUUGUUAUUGCAUCACCACCGCAAUUAGACGGAAAGCAGCAACAUCCAGGCAUCAUUCCCACCACAACACUCUCGCAAUACAUUCCCACCGCAACACUUAAGAGAUGGCAGCUGUCAUAAAAUGCAAUCCCACAGUCAGACAAAAAAUCCCACGCCACACCGCUAAUCACGUGUCAAACUUUGUCACGUGUGCGGAAUUACUUCAUAAAAAGUUUGGGAUUAAGACGUAAGAGAUUCUACGUGCGUUGUAGUUUGGGAAGGUUA